rnacentral:rRNA from 1 species
UACGGAGGGGGCGAGUGUUGUUCGGAAUUACUGGGCGUAAAGGGCGCGCAGGCGGCAUGGCAAGUCGAGUGUGAAAUCCCUUGGCUUAACUGAGGAAUGGCGCUCGAAACUACCUCGCUAGAGGGCGGGAGAGGGAAGUGGAACUCUCGGUGUAGGGGUGAAAUCUGUAGAUAUCGAGAGGAACACCGGUGGCGAAGGCGGCUUCCUGGCCCGUACCUGACGCUGAGGCGCGAAAGCGUGGGGAGCAAACAGG